GCAGUCGUGACCGAGUGGUUAAGGCAAUGACUAGAAAUCAAUUGGGGUCUCCCCGCACAGGUUCAAAUCCUGUCAACUGUG
rnacentral:tRNA from 1 species